rnacentral:rRNA from 1 species
CCAGACUCCUACGGGAGGCAGCAGUAGGGAAUUUUCGUCAAUGGGCGCAAGCCUGAACGAGCGAUGCCGCGUGAGUGAAGAAGGCCUUCGGGUCGUAAAGCUCUGUUGCGGGGGAAAAAAGGCAGCAUCAGGAAUGGGUGCUGACUGAUGGUGCCCGCCAGAAAGUCACGGCUAACUACGUGCCAGCAGCCGCGGUAAUACGGAGGAUGCGAGCGUUAUCCGGAUUUAUUGGGUUUAAAGGGUGCGUAGGCGGGCUUUUAAGUCAGCGGUAAAAAUUCGGGGCUCAACCCCGUCCGGCCGUUGAAACUGGGGGCCUUGAGUGGGCGAGAAGAAGGCGGAAUGCGUGGUGUAGCGGUGAAAUGCAUAGAUAUCACGCAGAACUCCGAUUGCGAAG